rnacentral:rRNA from 1 species
AUUUAUGCCCCGGCGAGUAGGCAGGCGUGGAGGCUCGUGACGAAGCCUUGGGGGUAACCCCGGGUCGAACGGCCUCUAGUGCAGAUCUUGGUGGUAGUAGCAAAUACUCAAAUGAGAACUUUGAGGACUGAAGUGGGGAAAGGUUCCGUGUGAACAGCAGUUGGACACGGGUGAGCCGACCCUAAGAGACAGGAAAACUCCGCCGAACGCGGCCGCUUCUGUCGGCCCGUCCGUCGAAAGGGAAUCGGGUUAAUAUUCCCGAGCCGACGCGUGGAUGGUGGGCGGCGACGCGUACGAACCCGGAGACGCCGGCGCGGGCCCCGGGAAGAGUUCUCUUUUCUUCUUAACUGCCUCGUGCCCUGGAAUCGGUUUAGCCGGAGCGAGGGCUGCACGGCAGGCAAAGCACCCUAAGUCUUGGGGUGUCCGGCGCGCCCGCGACGGCCCGUGAAAAUCCGGGGGAGCGGUUCGUUCUCACGCUCGGUCGUACUCAUAACCGCAUCAGGUCUCCAAGGUGAGCAGCCUCUAGUCGAUAGAGCAAUGUAGGUAAGGGAAGUCGGCAAAAUGGUUCCGCAACUUCGGGAGAAGGAAUGGCUCUGAAGGCUGGGUGCGGGGGUCCUCCGCUUGAGGCCGGCUGGCUGCGCUGGGACUACGGCCUUUGCGCCGCGGACCCGGCGCGGCCGUCCGGCGGACGGCGGAGGAGCGCUCCGGCAUUCCCCGCACGCUGAACAGCCGCUUCAGAACUGGCGCGGACAAGGGGAAUCCGACUGUUUAAUUAAA